UUCAUCAGGAUCACAGCUAACUCUGAAGAUUGACAAUAAGUUGCUCCUUUAGCUCAAAGAGCUUUCUUGCAAUUUCUCUUGCAAAGGACAUCUUUGUUUCCCCCUUCAACUUUUGUUGUAUUGCUGAAGGAUGGUCCAUGCCUUUCCCACAUCCUGUGGCACAGCAAGAGUAGCAGAGAAGAGAAGGCUUGAUUGUCAACAUCGCUCAAGAGUGACCUGGAGCUCAAGCAGUAGUGAUGUUCUCCAGACAGCUCUCCAUGGCUUCCCUAAGACACCAGUGAGCCACGAGACUGAGGCAGAAAUUCCAGUGUGGGGAGGGUGUGAGUCAUGAGAUGACACUGACCAUUAGGAAGACACUGCUGCAGAGUCUGAAACCAAACCAGCCUAUUCCUUGUUCUCAAGUCAUCUUGGGUUAGAAGCUGCUGAAAAACUUCCUUCUGGAUAAAUAACUGUGAUGUCCCCAUCAUCCCCAGAAUUGGAUUCCUUCACUGGGAUUGCUGAAACACUGGUCUGCUCCAAGGUUUCUCUCGUGGAAGAAUAGUUCAGCUUCACAACAGGAGUGAGAAAAGUUUAAAUGCUUUAGGGCUCACUCUCAGGCACAAGAUUUUAUUAUUUGAGCUUUUGUUUGGAAAUAAAUUGAGUUCUUGUCAUAGAUUGGGCA
rnacentral:lncRNA from 1 species